rnacentral:rRNA from 1 species
GAUGAACGCUAGCGGCAGGCCUAAUACAUGCAAGACGAACGGUAAGCGAGGUAGCAAUAUUUCGCCUAGAGUGUCGUAAGGGUGCGUAACACGUAUGCAAUCUGCCCCCAACAGGAGGAUAGCUCGGGGAAACCCGAAUUAACCCUUCAUAAUAUCACGUGAGGGCAUCCGAUUGUGAUUAAAACUGAGGUGGUUGGGGAUGAGCAUGCGUCUGAUUAGCUAGUUGGUAGGGUAAUGGCCUACCAAGGCGAUGAUCAGUAGGGGAACUGAGAGGUUGAUCCCCCACACUGGCACUGAGAUACGGGCCANACUCCUACGGGAGGCAGCAGUAGGGAAUAUUGGACAAUGGGUGCGAGCCUGAUCCAGCCAUGCCGCGUGCAGGAAGACGGCCUUCUGGGUUGUAAACUGCUUUUAUCANGGGAUAAAAAGCUCGUGCGCGAGCCAUUGAAGGUACCUGGUGAAUAAGCCACGGCUAACUACGUGCCAGCAGCCGCGGUAAUACNUAGGUGGCAAGCGUUGUCCGGAUUUAUUGGGUUUAAAGGG